CCCUUAGAUGUCCUGGGCCGCACGCGCGCUACACUGAUGCAUUCAACGAGUUUUACCUUGGCCGAGAGGCCUGGGCAAUCUUUUAAACCUGCAUCGUGAUAGGGAUAGAUUAUUGCAAUUAUUAAUCUUGAACGAGGAAUUCCUAGUAAACGCAGAUCAUCAAUCUGCAUUGAUUACGUCCCUGCCCUUUGUACACACCGCCCGUCGCACCUACCGAUUGAAUGGUCCGGUGAAGCCUCGGGAUUGUGGCCAGUUCACUUUAUUGGGAGUUGGCUGCGAGAACUUGUCUAAACCUUAUCAUUUAGAGGAAGAUGAAGUCGUAACA
rnacentral:rRNA from 1 species